rnacentral:rRNA from 1 species
GACGAACGCUGGCGGCGUGCUUAACACAUGCAAGUCGAACGAUGAAGCCUAGCUUGCUAGGUGGAUUAGUGGCGAACGGGUGAGUAAUACGUGAGUAACCUACCUUUAACUCUGGGAUAAGCCUGGGAAACUGGGUCUAAUACAGGAUACAACCAAUCUCGGCAUGGGGUGUUGGUGGAAAGCGUUAUGUGGUGGUUAUAGAUGGGCUCACGGCCUAUCAGCUUGUUGGUGAGGUAACGGCUCACCAAGGCGACGACGGGUAGCCGGCCUGAGAGGGUGACCGGCCACACUGGGACUGAGACACGGCCCAGACUCCUACGGGAGGCAGCAGUGGGGAAUAUUGCACAAUGGGCGGAAGCCUGAUGCAGCGACGCCGCGUGAGGGAUGACGGCCUUCGGGUUGUAAACCUCUGUUAGCAGGGAAGAAGAGAGAUUGACGGUACCUGCAGAGAAAGCGCCGGCUAACUACGUG